GAUGAACGCUGGCGGCGUGCCUAAUACAUGCAAGUCGAGCGAACAGAUAAGGAGCUUGCUCCUUUGACGUUAGCGGCGGACGGGUGAGUAACACGUGGGUAACCUACCUAUAAGACUGGGAUAACUUCGGGAAACCGGAGCUAAUACCGGAUAAUAUUUCGAACCGCAUGGUUCGAUAGUGAAAGAUGGUUUUGCUAUCACUUAUAGAUGGACCCGCGCCGUAUUAGCUAGUUGGUAAGGUAACGGCUUACCAAGGCGACGAUACGUAGCCGACCUGGGAGGGUGAUCGGCCACACUGGAACUGAGACACGGUCCAGACUCCUACGGGAGGCAGCAGUAGGGAAUCUUCCGCAAUGGGCGAAAGCCUGACGGAGCAACGCCGCGUGAGUGAUGAAGGUCUUCGGAUCGUAAAACUCUGUUAUUAGGGAAGAACAUACGUGUAAGUAACUGUGCACGUCUUGACGGUACCUAAUCAGAAAGCCACGGCUAACUACGUGCCAGCCGCCGCCGUAA
rnacentral:rRNA from 1 species